AUGGUCAUCCAGGGAGAGGCUGGAGCUGUCAUCCGUGGAAAGAAGGGAUCUGGAGGUAUUACUAUAAAGAAGACUGGUCAAGCCCUAGUUUUUGGCAUCUAUGAAGAGCCUGUGACACCAGGACAGUGCAACAUGGUGGUUGAGAGGUUGGGGGAUUACCUUAUUGACCAGGGCCUGUAGGCCAAGCUCUAUCAUCAUUUGAGUAAUAUCUUUUGGGGCUUAAUUGUUUUUUUUUUUUUUUCUUCCUUUUUCUUAUUCCCUUUUGAUUUCGGUUCCAAGUGUGCAUCGAUCUUCAUUUGAAAGCCUUAAAUUGGCAGUGAAGUUGUUGCAGACAAUAACCAUGUGAGAACUAAAACAUUUGUCUUGUGUUUGGUUGUUUGAAUUGCGUUACCUUGAUAUUCUAUCGAUUUUUGCGUAAUACUACUUGCAAUUUUUUC